rnacentral:rRNA from 1 species
AAAAUUAAAGGUCUAAUCUGCCCAAUGAUAUUUGAAUGGCCGCGGUAACUUGACCGUGCAAAGGUAGCAUAAUAAUUAGUCUUUUAAUUGAAGGCUUGAAUGAAAGAUUGGAUGAAAAAUAAACUUUAUUAAUAUAAAUUAUUUAAUUUAUUAUUUAAGUAAAAAUUCUUAAAUAUAUAAGUGGGACGAGAAGACCCUAUAGAGUUUUAUUUUUAUUUUUAUUAUCAAAUUAGAGAAUUAAUAUUUCUAUAAUAUAAAUGAAUUUUUUAUUGGGGUGAUAUUAAAAAUUUAUGAACUUUUAAUAAAUAUUUCAUUAAUAUAUGUACUUUUGAUCCAAAAAAAUUUUGAUUAUAAGAUUUAAUUACCUUAGGGAUAACAGCGUUAUUAAUUUGAAGAGUUCAAAUCGAUAAAUUAGUUUGCGACCUCGAUGUUGGAUUAAGAAUAAAUUUUGAAGUAGUAUUUAAAAUUAUAGGUCUGUUCGACCUUUAAAUUCUUACG